AAAUUAUCCACAUAUCAAGCGCCCGGGUAUUACGAGUGCAAACUUAAAAUCCAAAGGAUUUGACGGUGUCCCACCCACCUAGAGGAGCCUGUUCUAUAAUCGAUAAUCCUCGAUAUACCUCACCAUUUCUUGCUACUCAAUCUGUAUACCUCCGUCGUAAGCUUACCAUUUGAAUGCAAAAAAGUAAGUUUAAUGAUCAUUCAUCAACACGUCAGGUCAAGGUGCAACCAAUGAAACGGGAAGCAAUGGGCUACAAUUUCUAUAAUAGAACACACGAAAUGCUACAUGAAAAUUAGUCAUGAAGGCGGAUUUAGUAGUAAAAGAAGAAUAGCGUGCUUCUUUUAACAAGGCUCUGGGACGUGUACAAACCGCCCGUCACCCUCUUCAAUAGCACAUCUUAAUUCAUAAUCCUUAGAAGCACCUUAGAAGAGGCAAGUCGUAACAUGGUAAGUGUACUGGAAAGUGCACUUGGCAAAUCAAAAUGUAGCUUAAAUAAAGCAUUCUCGCUUACACCGAAAAAAUAUCUGUUUAACCCAGAUCAUUUUGAG
rnacentral:rRNA from 1 species